UACAGAGGUCCCAAGCGUUGUUCGGACUCACUGGGCGUAAAGGGUGCGUAGGCGGUCGGGUAAGUCUGAUGUGAAAUCUCACAGCUUAACUGUGAAACUGCAUUGGAUACUAUCCGGCUCGAGGAAUGGAGGGGAGACUGGAAUACUUGGUGUAGCAGUGAAAUGCGUAGAGAUGCGGAGGAACACCAGUGGCGAAAGCGACUUUCUGGUCCUUAACUGACGCUGAGGCGCGAAAGCAUGGGGAGCGAACGGG
rnacentral:rRNA from 1 species